AUACCAAUUGUUGCCUCGGCGGAUCAGCCCGCUCCCGGUAAAACGGGACGGCCCGCCAGAGGACCCCUAAACUCUGUUUCUAUAUGUAACUUCUGAGUAAAACCAUAAAUAAAUCAAAACUUUCAACAACGGAUCUCUUGGUUCUGGCAUCGAUGAAGAACGCAGCAAAAUGCGAUAAGUAAUGUGAAUUGCAGAAUUCAGUGAAUCAUCGAAUCUUUGAACGCACAUUGCGCCCGCCAGUAUUCUGGCGGGCAUGCCUGUUCGAGCGUCAUUUCAACCCUCAAGCCCAGCUUGGUGUUGGGACUCGCGAGUCAAAUCGCGUUCCCCAAAUUGAUUGGCGGUCACGUCGAGCUUCCAUAGCGUAGUAGUAAAACCCUCGUUACUGGUAAUCGUCGCGGCCACGCCGUUAAACCCCAACUUCUGAAUGUUGACCUCGGAUCAGGUAGGAAUACCCGCUGAACUUAAGCAUAUCAA
rnacentral:rRNA from 1 species